rnacentral:rRNA from 1 species
AUUGAACGCUGGCGGCAGGCCUAACACAUGCAAGUCGAGCGGAUGAAGGGAGCUUGCUCCUGGAUUCAGCGGCGGACGGGUGGGUAAUGCAUAGGAAUCUGCCUGAUCUUGGGGGAUAACGUCCGGAAACGGGCGCUUAUACCACAUACGUCCAGAUGUAGAAAGUGGGGGAUCUUCGGACCUCACGCUAUCAGAUGAGCCUAGGACGGAUUAGCUAGUUGGUGGGGUAAAGGCCUACCAAGGCGACGAUCCGUAGCUGAUCUGAGAGGAUGAUCAGCCACACUGGAACUGAGACACGGUCCAGACUCCUACGGGAGGCAGCAGUGGGGAAUAUUGCACAAUGGGCGAAAGCCUGAUCGAGCAACGCCGCGUGUGUGAUGAAGGUCUUCGGAUCGUAAAGCACUGUAAGUUGGGAGGAAGGUCAGUAAGUUUAUCCCUGGAUGUUUUGACGUUACCAACAGAAUAAGCACCGGCUAACUUCGUG